GGGGAAGGAAUGUAGCCCAGUGGUAGAGUAUCUGCCUUGCAUGCAGAGGGUCCCACGUUUAGUCCCUGGCAUCUCCU